rfam:Citrus clementina cultivar Clemenules unplaced genomic scaffold scaffold_8, whole genome shotgun sequence.
AACCUUGUUUGAUAGCCAAGGAUGACUUGCCUUGCUUUUAAAGAAAGGUCUCUCAACUUUAGCUUAGCUACAUAUUUAGCUAGUAUCCUUGUGCAGGUUCCAAGGCAAGUCGUCUUUGGCUAUUUUGACAGGCUCU